rnacentral:rRNA from 1 species
CUAGCUACAGGCUUAACACAUGCAAGUCGAGGGGCAGCAUGGUCUUAGCUUGCUAAGGCCGAUGGCGACUGGCGCACGGGUGAGUAACACGUAUCCAACCUGCCGUCUACUCUUGGACAGCCUUCUGAAAGGAAGAUUAAUACAAGAUGGCAUCAUGAGUCCGCAUGUUCACAUGAUUAAAGGUAUUCCGGUAGACGAUGGGGAUGCGUUCCAUUAGAUAGUAGGCGGGGUAACGGCCCACCUAGUCUUCGAUGGAUAGGGGUUCUGAGAGGACGGUCCCCCACAUUGGAACUGAGACACGGUCCAAACUCCUACGGGAGGCAGCAGUGAGGAAUAUUGGUCAAUGGGCGAGAGCCUGAACCAGCCAAGUAGCGUGAAGGAUGACUGCCCUAUGGGUUGUAAACUUCUUUUAUAAAGGAAUAAAGUCGGGUAUGCAUACCCGUUUGCAUGUACUUUAUGAAUAAGGAUCGGCUAACUCCGUGCCAGCAGCCGCGGUAAUACGGAGGAUCCGAGCGUUAUCCGGAUUUAUUGGGUUUAAAGGGAGCGUAGAUGGAUGUUUAAGUCAGUUGUGAAAGUUUGCGGCUCAACCGUAAAAUUGCAGUUGAUACUGGAUAUCUUGAGUGCAGUUGAGGCAGGCGGAAUUCGUGGUGUAGCGGUGAAAUGCUUAGAUAUCACGAAGAACUCCGAUUGCGAAGGCAGCCUGCUAAGCUGCAACUGACAUUGAGGCUCGAAAGUGUGGGUAUCAAAGAGGAUUAGAUACCCUGGUAGUCCACACGGUAAACGAAGAAUACUCGCCGGUUGCGAUAUACAGCAAGCGGCCAAGCGAAAGCGUUAAGUAUUCCACCUGGGGAGUACGCCGGCAACGGUGAAACUCAAAGGAAUUGACGGGGGCCCGCACAAGCGGAGGAACAUGUGGUUUAAUUCGAUGAUACGCGAGGAACCUUACCCGGGCUUAAAUUGCAGAUGAAUUACGGUGAAAGCCGUAAGCCGCAAGGCAUCUGUGAAGGUGCUGCAUGGUUGUCGUCAGCUCGUGCCGUGAGGUGUCGGCUUAAGUGCCAUAACGAGCGCAACCCUUGUUGUCAGUUACUAACAGGUUCCGCUGAGGACUCUGACAAGACUGCCAUCGUAAGAUGUGAGGAAGGUGGGGAUGACGUCAAAUCAGCACGGCCCUUACGUCCGGGGCUACACACGUGUUACAAUGGGGGGUACAGAGGGCCGCUACCACGCGAGUGGAUGCCAAUCCCAAAAACCUCUCUCAGUUCGGACUGGAGUCUGCAACCCGACUCCACGAAGCUGGAUUCGCUAGUAAUCGCGCAUCAGCCACGGCGCGGUGAAUACGUUCCCGGGCCUUGCAC